ensembl:rRNA 5S_rRNA 5S ribosomal RNA
ACUUACAGUAACUGUAAGUACCUGGGUAUGCCCGAUCUUGUCUGAUCUCGGAAGUAAAGCAAGGUUGGGCAUGGUUAGUACUUGAAUGGGAGACCGCCUGGGAAUACGAGGUUCUUUAAGCU